UCUUUGGUUAUCUAGCUGUAUGAGUGUUCUCGGCUUCAUAAAGCUAGAUUACCGAAAGUA
rnacentral:pre_miRNA from 1 species